CCUACGGGUGGCUGCAGUGGGGAAUUUUGGACAAUGGGGGCAACCCUGAUCCAGCCAUGCCGCGUGAGUGAAGAAGGCCUUCGGGUUGUAAAGCUCUUUCGGCCGGGAAGAAAUCGCAUCAGCUAAUACCUGGUGUGGAUGACGGUACCGGAAUAAGAAGCACCGGCUAACUACGUGCCAGCAGCCGCGGUAAUACGUAGGGUGCGAGCGUUAAUCGGAAUUACUGGGCGUAAAGCGUGCGCAGGCGGUUGUGUAAGACAGGCGUGACAUCCCCGGGCUCAACCUGGGAACUGCGCUUGUGACUGCACAGCUAGAGUACGGCAGAGGGGGGUGGAAUUCCACGUGUAGCAGUGAAAUGCGUAGAGAUGUGGAGGAACACCGAUGGCGAAGGCAGCCCCCUGGGCCGAUACUGACGCUCAUGCACGAAAGCGUGGGUAGCAAACAGGAUUAGAUACCCGAGUAGUC
rnacentral:rRNA from 1 species